rnacentral:rRNA from 1 species
GUCUAUGGCCAUACCAACCUGAAUAUGCCUGAUCUCGUCUGAUCGGGGAAGCGAAGUGGGGUUGGGGCCUGGUUAAUGCUUGGAUGAGAGUGCUGCAUCCUCUUGGAUGGAGGAGCUCCUGCUGCAGGUC